GGAGUGAUGGGAUGUUUGUGCUGCUUACAGCUAUUUCCUCUUUUCUUCACAAAGAAGGAUUGCAAGCAUAACUGAUGAAUAGCAGUGGAAUCUACUGAAGUAUGUGCAGGUAGCAGUGGCUAAUAUCUCUUCUACAAUAUUACUCCUGGAAGUACAACUCCUCAAAGAAUACUGUCUAGGAUUACAGGACAAGACAGCUCGGAGAGCUGUGGCUCCUUGGACGUCAUCCAAGCCUCUGAAGUCAACCAUCAUCUUUCCCAUACAGCUGUGAAAAGGUUCUGCAAUUUGGUGGCACAACAGGGACAUUUCAGAGCUGCUGAAUGCAGAAUUGGGAAAUGAACUCGGAGGGAUUUGUGUGUGGACGAGAGUAUGUAUGUACUCCAAUCAUCUUGCUUAUGCUAUAGGGAUCCAGAGGUUGUUGUAAAGCUUUAUAAUAUGGACUUUGCAAUCCUAAAAAUGUUAUUAGUAUUUUAUUAAUAUGGAAAUAAUGUCAAAGGUAAAUGUCAAGGGGCUAUAAAAUUACCUUUAUCUCCUGUACGUUUAUCAGUUGAUAAAUGGAAAGAAGCUGCUGCCAAAAUAACUGUGAAUGAAUAAUUUAUAAAUGACUGAUGCAUCGUGUAUAUUGUUUCAGGCAGCAAACAGUAGGACAUCAAUAAUCAAAAGAAGUUGGAUUAAUUUAGCAGUAUUUUGCAGUUAAUAUUUUUAUCUAAAUGCUGCAGUCUGGACCGUUGUCAUGAGGAAAUCCAUCUCUGUCAUUAGGGACUGAUCCA